AAGCAAUAAUGCGUUAUAUUUGCAGUGGAAUAUGCGAUUAUGGAAGAAUGUGUGCAAUUCAAUGCACCUGUAAUAGCUUUGUUAAAAAGCGCCAGAUGUCGCUUCCGUAGUUAGUGAAAAGAUCGCGAAAGUGCAAGUCGGAAUUUGCAAGCCCGAGUGUGAUUUAAUUGAAAAAAAGAGAUAUAAAGCAUAUAAAAAACCAAUGCCAAACAUUGUACAGAUUUACGUUUGAUGGGACUACGAAAAAAAGUUUAUUCGGUUUAAAGAACAUGCGCCGCACAAAUCGAGCCGUGAAGUAAUAUAUGAUCUCAGAGAAGCUCAAAGCACUGCAGCCCAGAAAGAACACCACCAGGCCGCCAAUAUAAACUGAAAAAGAAAAGAGUUCCGUAAGGUUCUCCAUACAGGUAUUGCCCCGAAAACUCACCCAAGACAUCGGCAAAGGAGAAGAGCACUGUAGAUUAGCGCCCAAAAACCAGACACGCGAGCGCUAGCCACACAAGUGGUGUGGGUGAUGUGUGUGGGAGAGAAACCAGUAUUAAGCGGAAUAAGAACCAGGACAAGCACAACAUCAAAAAUAACAACAUCAUCAAAAUAA